CAUAGGUUAAUGAGGCGAACCGGGGGAACUGAAACAUCUAAGUACCCCGAGGAAAAGAAAUCAACCGAGAUUCCCCCAGUAGCGGCGAGCGAACGGGGAGGAGCCCAGAGCCUGAAUCAGUGUGUGUGUUAGUGGAAGCGUCUGGAAAGGCGCGCGAUACAGGGUGACAGCCCCGUACACAAAAAUGCACAUGCUGUGAGCUCGAUGAGUAGGGCGGGACACGUGGUAUCCUGUCUGAAUAUGGGGGGACCAUCCUCCAAGGCUAAAUACUCCUGACUGACCGAUAGUGAACCAGUACCGUGAGGGAAAGGCGAAAAGAACCCCGGCGAGGGGAGUGAAAAAGAACCUGAAACCGUGUACGUACAAGCAGUGGGAGCACGCUUAGGCGUGUGACUGCGUACCUUUUGUAUAAUGGGUCAGCGACUUAUAUUCUGUAGCAAGGUUAACCGAAUAGGGGAGCCGAAGGGAAACCGAGUCUUAACUGGGCGUUAAGUUGCAGGGUAUAGACCCGAAACCCGGUGAUCUAGCCAUGGGCAGGUUGAAGGUUGGGUAACACUAACUGGAGGACCGAACCGACUAAUGUUGAAAAAUUAGCGGAUGACUUGUGGCUGGGGGUGAAAGGCCAAUCAAACCGGGAGAUAGCUGGUUCUCCCCGAAAGCUAUUUAGGUAGCGCCUCGUGAAUUCAUCUCCGGGGGUAGAGCACUGUUUCGGCAAGGGGGUCAUCCCGACUUACCAACCCGAUGCAAACUGCGAAUACCGGAGAAUGUUAUCACGGGAGACACACGGCGGGUGCUAACGUCCGUCGUGAAGAGGGAAACAACCCAGACCGCCAGCUAAGGUCCCAAAGUCAUGGUUAAGUGGGAAACGAUGUGGGAAGGCCCAGACAGCCAGGAUGUUGGCUUAGAAGCAGCCAUCAUUUAAAGAAAGCGUAAUAGCUCACUGGUCGAGUCGGCCUGCGCGGAAGAUGUAACGGGGCUAAACCAUGCACCGAAGCUGCGGCAGCGACGCUGAUGCGUUGUUGGGUAGGGGAGCGUUCUGUAAGCCUGCGAAGGUGUGCUGUGAGGCAUGCUGGAGGUAUCAGAAGUGCGAAUGCUGACAUAAGUAACGAUAAAGCGGGUGAAAAGCCCGCUCGCCGGAAGACCAAGGGUUCCUGUCCAACGUUAAUCGGGGCAGGGUGAGUCGACCCCUAAGGCGAGGCCGAAAGGCGUAGUCGAUGGGAAACAGGUUAAUAUUCCUGUACUUGGUGUUACUGCGAAGGGGGGACGGAGAAGGCUAUGUUGGCCGGGCGACGGUUGUCCCGGUUUAAGCGUGUAGGCUGGUUUUCCAGGCAAAUCCGGAAAAUCAAGGCUGAGGCGUGAUGACGAGGCACUACGGUGCUGAAGCAACAAAUGCCCUGCUUCCAGGAAAAGCCUCUAAGCAUCAGGUAACAUCAAAUCGUACCCCAAACCGACACAGGUGGUCAGGUAGAGAAUACCAAGGCGCUUGAGAGAACUCG
rnacentral:rRNA from 1 species